UUUCAAGCUAUUGUACUUUUUCUUUUCUUUUCUUUUUUAGGUCUUCAAACAUUAAAAUUCACUAACAUCAGUUGAACAUAGCUACUCUUUAACUGCUACAUACAAUGUGAUUGGCAUUAAUGUCAUGUUCAAUAAUGGUACAUGGGGUAAAAUAUAUGAGGAUCAGAGUAUUAGAAGUGGAUAACAUAGACGAGUCCUUUUCAAUAUU
rnacentral:lncRNA from 1 species